UAACAUAAUAACUCUUCGGCUGAGUGAUUAACAAACCUUCCGCGCCGCUAAAUAAUUCGGUUGUCGGUUAUGGCCGCGACGCAGGUGCGGAACAACGUGAAAGAUGCUCUAGGCAGAGCCUCUGGCUGUUCGUGGAAAGCAAACUGCAGUGCGUAGGUAGCUGAAAUACAGUAUCGCAGCAGGAAGUGGAGCAAACAGUUCACAGGGUGAUGAAAGGGUCACUUCAACUACAAUAAAAUAGUUCUAUGGAAGA